AUGCACGCUGGCGGCGUGCCUAAUACAUGCAAGUCGCGCGAACAGACGAGGAGCUUGCUCCUCUGACGUUAGCGGCGGACGGGUGAGUAACACGUGGAUAACCUACCUAUAAGACUGGGAUAACUUCGGGAAACCGGAGCUAAUACCGGAUAAUAUAUUGAACCGCAUGGUUCAAUAGUGAAAGACGGUUUUGCUGUCACUUAUAGAUGGAUCCGCGCCGCAUUAGCUAGUUGGUAAGGUAACGGCUUACCAAGGCAACGAUGCGUAGCCGACCUGAGAGGGUGAUCGGCCACACUGGAACUGGGACACGGUCCAGACUCCUACGGGAGGCAGCAGUAGGGAAUCUUCCGCAAUGGGCGAAAGCCUGACGGAGCAACGCCGCGUGAGUGAUGAAGGUCUUCGGAUCGUAAAACUCUGUUAUUAGGGAAGAACAAAUGUGUAAGUAACUAUGCACGUCUUGACGGUACCUAAUCAGAAAGCCACGGCUAACUACGUG
rnacentral:rRNA from 1 species